rnacentral:rRNA from 1 species
UACGUAGGGUGCGAGCGUUGUCCGGAAUUAUUGGGCGUAAAGAGCUCGUAGGCGGUGUGUCGCGUCGGCCGUGAAAACCUGGGGCUUAACUCUGGGCGUGCGGUCGAUACGGGCAUCACUAGAGUUCGGCAGGGGAGACUGGAAUUCCUGGUGUAGCGGUGGAAUGCGCAGAUAUCAGGAGGAACACCGGUGGCGAAGGCGGGUCUCUGGGCCGUACUGACGCUGAGGAGCGAAAGCGUGGGGUAGCGAACAGG